ACCAGCAUGGCAUAGUGGUUUGAGUGUUGGACUACAACUCUGAGGACCAGGGUUCAAUUCCCAGCUCAGCCA
rnacentral:tRNA from 1 species